rnacentral:lncRNA from 1 species
AAAUACGCAGCACCCACAACCUAAAGGGAGGGAGAAUUAUUUUGACUCUAUUUUAGAAGUUUCAGUCCUUCCAUGAUCAGCAACAGGAUGGAAGGAUCUGGACAAAGGAAAGCUUCUCUCCUUGUGGUGGACAGGAAGCAGAGAAGCGGGGGAGCUGCGGAAGGAGAUGUCCUUCCAGGUCAUGCCCCCAGUUUGGCUUUCUGAGGCUUCCAUUACCUGAAGUCAACCAGGAUCCAAAAAUAUUACAUAGAGAAUUCCAGAAAUAAUUCAGAAGCUUUACAUCAUCUGCUAUUCUGAGCAGCAUGGUAAAAUUUCAUACUGUCUCACUUUGUCCUAUCUGGGACUUGACCCUUCGUGCAGUUAAUCCAUGCUCUAUAUGCUGCCUAGCCAUUGGUCACAUGGUAGCCUUCUUGGUUAUCAGAUCACCUGUUGCAGUAUCACAGGGCUUGUGUGCAAGUAACUUCUUUUACUGAAUGGUGACUUCAAAGCACAAGAAUAGCGGUGUUGGAAAUUCAUAUACGCCGAAGGGAAGGUGUGAAGUGCUUACUUCAAGUGAAAAGGUGCAAGUAUGUACGGGUCAAAAUGGACAGAACAGGAGCCAGGGAUUUAGCUCAGUGGUGCCGCCGUCUGCCUCGCAAGCAGAACGUCCUGAGUUCGAUCCCCAGUACCCAAAACCCAAAAAACAAAACAAAAACCCAACAGAACAAUUAACUGUGGAUAGAAACCUCUGAAACUGAG